AUGUCGUCGCCGGACCCCGGAAGCAUCGCGAGCCGGUGGCGCGAGCUGCAGGGCGCGGGGUCGUGGGAGGGGCUGCUGGACCGGGACCUGCGCGCCUCCAUCAUCGCCUACGGCGAGCUGGCGGAGGCCACCUACGACGGGUUCAACUCGCAGCGCCGCUCGCUGCACGCCGGUGCGUGCUUCUACGGCCAUGACGACCUGCUCGCCGCCGCCGGCGUGGUCCGCGCUGGCCACUACGCCGUCACCAAGUUCAUCUACGCGACAAGCGGGUUCUUCCUGGCGCCCACGACGGGGACGUCCGUGCCCGACGCCUUCUUCGUGCUGCCGCUGCCGUCGCUGCUGGAGGAGCCCUGGUGCCGGGAGUCCAACUGGAUGGGGUACGUGGCAGUGGCCACGGACGAGGGCGUGGCGGCGCUCGGCCGGCGCGACAUCGUCGUUGCCUGGCGCGGCACAGUGGAGAGCCUCGAGUGGGUUAACGACCUGGACUUCACGCCCACGUCCGCCGCGCCCGUGCUUGGCUCGGCGGCGGAUGAUUUCGACUCCGCUUUGGUGCACAAAAAUGCUAAACGUACGGGCUUCUUACAGGAGUUUUACAGGCCAUUUCCUAAUAAUCUAUCCGAUUCCGGCCCCUCUGAUUUUCACCCUGGUGGGGCCCGUCCCUCCCCCCUUAAUCCAAUCAUAACUUGA
rnacentral:rRNA from 1 species